rnacentral:rRNA from 1 species
UACGUAGGGGGCGAGCGUUGUCCGGAUUUAUUGGGCGUAAAGGGCGCGUAGGCGGCACUGUUAGUCAGGCGUGAAAUUCCUGGGCUCAACCUGGGGACUGCGCUUGAUACGGCAGAGCUUGAGGAUGGAAGAGGGUCGCGGAAUUCCCAGUGUAGAGGUGAAAUUCGUAGAUAUUGGGAAGAACACCGGUGGCGAAGGCGGCGACCUGGUCCAUUACUGACGCUGAGGCGCGACAGCGUGGGGAGCAAACAGG